GAGUUUGAUCGUGGCUCAGGACGAACGCUGGCGGCGUGCUUAACACAUGCAAGUCGAACGGUAAGGCUCCAGCUUGCUGGGGUACACGAGUGGCGAACGGGUGAGUAACACGUGGGUGACCUGCCCUGCACUUCGGGAUAAGCCUGGGAAACUGGGUCUAAUACCGGAUAGGACCGCACCGUGAGGGUGUGGUGGAAAGUUUUUUCGGUGUGGGAUGGGCCCGCGGCCUAUCAGCUUGUUGGUGGGGUAAUGGCCUACCAAGGCGGCGACGGGUAGCCGGCCUGAGAGGGUGGACGGCCACAUUGGGACUGAGACACGGCCCAGACUCCUUCGGGAGGCAGCAGUGGGGAAUAUUGCACAAUGGGCGGAAGCCUGAUGCAGCGACGCCGCGUGGGGGAUGACGGCCUCGGUU
rnacentral:rRNA from 1 species